CACGUAGGCACCAAGCGUUGUCCGGAUUUAUUGGGCGUAAAGAGCUCGUAGGCGGUUUGUCGCGUCUGCUGUGAAAAUCCAGGGCUUAACCCUGGACCUGCAGUGGGUACGGGCAGACUGGAGUGCGGUAGGGGAGAUCGGAAUUCCUGGUGUAGCGGUGAAAUGCGCAGAUAUCAGGAGGAACACCGGUGGCGAAGGCGGAUCUCUGGGCCGUAACUGACGCUGAGGAGCGAAAGCAUGGGGAGCGAACAGG
rnacentral:rRNA from 1 species